UACGUAGGUGGCGAGCGUUGUCCGGAUUUACUGGGUGUAAAGGGCGCGUAGGCGGGGCGGCAAGUCCGAUGUGAAAUCCCGCGGCUCAACCGUGGAACCGCAUCGGAAACUGUCGUCCUUGAGUAUCGGAGGGGAAAGCGGAAUUCCUAGUGUAGCGGUGAAAUGCGUAGAUAUUAGGAGGAACACCGGUGGCGAAGGCGGCUUUCUGGCCGAAAACUGACGCUGAGGCGCGAAAGCGUGGGGAGCAAACAGGAUUAGAUACC
rnacentral:rRNA from 1 species